AAGGGUAUAGCUCAGUGGUAGAGUGCAUGCUUAGCAUGCACAAGGUCUUGGGUUCAAUCCCCAGUACCUCCA
rnacentral:tRNA from 1 species